rnacentral:misc_RNA from 1 species
AUUAUUUCAAAAAUUUGAAGAGAAAGAACCCCACAAAAGACAAUCUAAACACCUCAAAAUGUACUAUAUAAAAGAAGAAUCUUUCAACCCCCAAUGAUCAUAAACUCUGCAGAAUUUGUCUUAAUCAAUGAACAAACUACACUUUUUAACAAACUAUUUCAAGAACUUGAAGAAAAACAACCCUUUUAAGCAUAAGAGAAAAACCCCUUAUUGGUAGUAAUAUAUUAAGCAAAGCACAUUUCAAACAUUAAAUAAUUUUCUUGACUUAGCUCAUCUCCCACAUUAACUAAAUUCUUGAAAACUUCCUCAAUUUUCCACUUCCUUCCAAGCUAUGAUAAACCAGAAAAAAAAGAGGAGAACCCUUUUACAAGUAGAAUCUUUUACCUAAAUCAAAACUACUAACUUUUCUCUUUCCUCACUUUUUCAACUCAAAUCCACCAAUUCUUUAAACAAUUUUUCUUCAUUUUCUCCACUUCCGAAGCAAUAAAAGAAGCUGACAAAGCCUACUAAUUUUGUAAAUCUUGAUUUUGCUGACAGCUUUGUAGUGUCCGCCUAAUUUUGGUUUAUCUACCCAACAG